GAGGGCCCCUGCCCACCCGUCCUCCCUGUGGUCGAGGAGCCGCCUGGAGCCUCACCUUUAACACAUAGUCUGCGCUGGUGAGCGUGUAGGCUCUGCCUCCAAGGUGGAAGGAAAUGUCCGGGAGUGUAGGCACCUGCUUGCAGUUCACGACGUACUGAGGGGAAGGAGCCAGUCUUGCUGACGCUCACGUAGUGGAAGUUCCCUUGGUAAUACUGGGGGUCGCUGCCUCCCAACACAACCUCUCCUCCGAGCAAGUGGGAAUUCCUAAAGGAAAGAUCAGAGCUCUUGAAGCCCAACCAGAGGUGGUUCCAGAAUAGUCCAGCUGCAUCUGAUAAAACAUCCCCAGCAAGGUCACGGCAAAGGAACGGGCGCAAGGACAGUGAGUCGAGAGCAAGAUGAGAAUCCCUCCCCCCCCCCCCCCCCCCGCCCUGCGGCUCCCAACUUGGGUUUGAGUUGCUGCCGGUUGAACAGGUGCUGGACUCACCAAGAGGUGAAGUCACUUGCCAGAAGUCCCCCGGGUGGUGUGUGGGGCGAUUGGUGCCCAGUCCAAAGCGGACUCCCUUGCUUUCCUCUCCUCCCAGCGCACAACGCCUCCCACCGCGCGGGGCCUCCCCUCGGGCUGGUUUCCAGGGUGCACACGUGGGCUGGGUUUCCCAGCAUACGUGUGCAGGCGGUUUAGGUGUGCAUGCGUUAUGCGGGCCGGUGCAAUGCAUUGCCCUCUUACACAUUCAGUACGUAUGCGCGUGUGCUAUAGCACCUGCCCCCAGCUGCCCCUCUGCCAACGUUUCAAGAUCCCCCGGCCUGUUCCUUCCUUCUUGCCCCAGGGUCAAGGAAGAGGCAGGCCCUCUUCUCAACAAGGCCCGCCUUCUUCCUGUUUGCUGGAUUCUUCUCCCUCCUGCGGCUGCCAGGCUCCUGUGCCCUUAGCUCCUCCGUUUUCCAGUUUCAAUCUCUCUCUCUCUUUCCAUUGGCUUCCUCCUCCACCUGCAAGCAUGCUCGUGCCUCCUCUAGCAUUUUAAAACACCCACCCUUCUUGUCUCCGCUUCCCUCUGCAUCUCAGUCUGCACCCCUCCUGACGCUCCCCUGUCUAAUCUCUCAGGGCACUCUACACCUGCCCUUUGCUUCCUGACGCCCACAUCUCUACCUCUCAACUGGUCACCAUCUGGCCGUGCUCCAGCUCAACAACAGCUCCUCCCGAGGACGCUGCCCCAGAGCCAGCCGGUGACCUCUGCUCAAUGCCUCCCGUUUUCUUUUUCUUCCUUCCUUCUUCUCCAUUUUACCUGUGCAAUUUCUUCCGACCUUGACCCUCCCUCCACCCUCACCUCCCUCGCCUCCAGCUCUUCCGGUCUUCCCAAACCCACAGCUUGGAGCAGAUCGCAACCCUGCAGCGAGAGCUCACAAUGGCUCCCCCCAGGCUGGCCCAACCACGCACAAGCUCAGCCUAGAGUUGAAAGGCACCCAUGGGCUUCAAGCCCCAGGCCCCCUGUCCUGUUGCUUGUCACGUUGUAAUGUUUCCCGUCUGCCUUCCUGACUGUAGGCUCUGUGAGGGCAGGGACUCUUUUUGGACGCUGUGUUCACGGCUGCACCCCAGAACCUCCCACAGUGCUUGGCACAUAAGCACGCCAUAUUUGUUGAAUCAAUGAGUGAGCAAAUAAAUGAAGGCAUUAAUGAAUAAAGCCAGCUUUCUGUGUGGUCCGUCACGGGGAGGGUCCCAGGUCCCAAUAAUGCUUUAUUUUCCAUCACCCCCACCCUGCAUUUUCCUCUUGUUCUAGAGAGUGCUGACAGGACUUGCUGCAAUGAUGGAAAUGUUCUGUUAUCUUCUAUCCAAUAUGUAGCCAUAGUCAUUGUGGCUGCCGAGCACUGGACAUGGGGCUAGUGUGACUAAAGACUUAAAUUUUAUUAAAUUUUAAUUAAUUUCAAUUUAAGUAGUGACUUCCAUAUUGGCUGGUGGAGCUCGACAUACGGCUGGAAUACCACCUAAUCAGGAACCCAGAAACAUCCCGGUCCCAACUCCCCUCUUGCUCUCCCAGCUCUCCUGAUACCCUCCGCCACCCCUGCCUCAGCCCCUGAAGCCCCAGCCUCACCUGCUGUAGUAGACAGAGAAGACAUCCUCCUUUAGCACCCCUUGGGAGAGGAUGUGGUCAAAGACAGGGGUAACCCCGCCAACAGCCUGUGCAGGGAAGCCCAUGCCCAGAAUCCCAUCAAACUUGGCCAGCAUGAAGGGUAUCAGGGGCAGCUCUGUGACCUCUCCAAACGUCUGUGUCACUGUGAUUCCGCCCACCUGUGGGAGGAAGGACCAGAGGAGACCAAGCCUGCUGCCUCCCCCGCUGGCCAGGGGGGAGUCAAGGACCCACAUCCCCUAGGGUAGAGAAACUGGGGAUAAGACCAUUUUAUCAACCCCCCACACAUAUCCUCUCUUCUAAUACACAUGCAGGCUGUGGGGUUGCCCAGGACCUGGAAAGGGGUACUGACAAUCAGUAACCACCAAGGUACCAGGAGCUCUCACACCCUCUCCCCAGGGGCCCAGCUUCCACACUGGCAGGACUGGGUCUCAGUUCCUCACCCCCACUAUGGGUAAGGAUUUCUCCAGCCCAGCCAGACCUUCUCCCCUGGUUUCCCAGACAACGGGCCUCUCAUGUUCCAUGUGUACCCUUCCCAUAGCUUAGAGCAGGGGCUGGAGUAACUCCCAGAAUGGAAAGGGUCCGAGGCAAGCCAAAUGGAAAAGAAAACCAAGCCCUGACCUUAAUCCUAAACUCUAACCUCAACUAGGAUCUUAGAACCUAUGCCUGACCCCCAAACUAACUCUGGCCAUAAUGAAACCAGUACUGCUGACCCUGACACCGACUCUGAUUUCAGUCUGGGGUCUUGUGAAGGGCCCAGUCGGAGCUGGGUGACCUCAGGCUGGUUAGCUGACAGGAGGCUGUGGGGCUCCGGCUAAGCUCUCACGUGAGUUACACGUAAAAGCUUCCAUAAAUCACCCAGUGUGGACCCAGGAGCUCAGGCUUGCUCUGUCCCAGGCCCUGCUUCUUUGCAGCAAGGCAGGGAGUUCCUCAAUUGCCCAGGCUCUAAGGUGGACUGAACUGUACCCCCCGUCCCCCUCCAAGUAUGGGCCCUCCAGUGGCAGGGGAGGUCUGGGACCAGAAGGGCAGAGGUCAGAUGACCUGGGGCGUUCCCACUUACAGUCACCUCGUCCUGGCUCAGGAAACCUUUGACCUUCCCAGAUCCGUAGUGGAUGGCGAAUGCCGUCCCAUUCUCCAUGUAGCUGGAGGAUUCCGAAGAGUCAUAGAGGCUGUGAAUCUCUGGCAGAGGGAUAUAGGCUCAGGUCUGUUCAAGAGAGGACCGGCAGGGGGGCUGGGAGGCAGGUGCCUGUGGGCGUGGCCCCCUGUGGUUGAGGCCUUCUGUGAAGGGGCGGGGAGGCCCUGAGGUGGGAGGCUUGCAAACGUGUUUCAUCAAUCAAGGAGUGUGUUUCUUGGGCCCCUGUCACGUGCCCAGAUCUCUGAGAAUUUUGUCUCCAAUCAAGCAUUCCACAGUGAUUCUGAGGCUGGGAUGAGGAGAAGAUUCUGGUUCCAGUAAGCUCUUGAGAAGAGGCUGUUGACUAAGGAAGGGCGUGGAAGACCCUGAGAGCCUGGGGUGGGUCUGAGGAUUUGGCCCCAAUCUCAGGAAAGGUCGAACACCUACUCUGUGCCUGCACUCCAGUGGAUACUAGAGAUAGAAACAUAAAGAUCAUCAGUGGGGUGCCUGGGUGGCUCAGUUGGUUAAGCUUCUGACUCCUGAUUUCAGCUCAGGUCACCAACCGCGAGAUAGAGCCCUGCAUGGGGCUC